UAGGUGGUUUCCACGUGAGCGAGAGUCC
rnacentral:piRNA from 1 species